rnacentral:lncRNA from 12 species
CUAUAGCACACAAUGAAUUUCAAGCAUGACAAAAACAGACUGGGAAAAGAUGGAUAGUCUACAAAAUUUGCUAUGCAAAUGUUAGACUUCUUUGAUACUACUGAUGGGCAGCAGGAAGUAAAAUCCAUCCUCUUGCCUCGGCAGGUCAAGCUGUGCUGGACUUGCAGAAUGACCAUGAACCUGCUUCAUCUUGGAGGAGGAGAUUGCUCAUUGCUGAUGUUCCCUGCCUUUGGCAAUAGACCUACCCUUCUGCUCCCGUUACAGGUCAGGAGUCACAUAAAGUAAUGGGUCUGCAAUGAAUUGCAGCAUUCCAGAUCUGCAUCAAGUAGCUGAGCUGUGGGGACCCUGUUUCAGCUUCCCCCAAGGCUUCUUUCAGCCACUACAGCCUGGUAACAUCUGGAGGCCUUGCCAGGAGGGCAAC